AGUGGCGAACGGGUGAGUAAUGCGUGACCGACCUGCCCCAUACACCGGAAUAGCUCCUGGAAACGGGUGGUAAUGCCGGAUGCUCCAGUUGGAUGCAUGUCCUUCUGGGAAAGAUUCAUCGGUAUGGGAUGGGGUCGCGUCCUAUCAGCUUGAUGGCGGGGUAACGGCCCACCAUGGCUUCGACGGGUAGCCGGCCUGAGAGGGCGACCGGCCACAUUGGGACUGAGAUACGGCCCAGACUCCUACGGGAGGCAGCAGUGGGGAAUAUUGCACAAUGGGCGCAAGCCUGAUGCAGCGACGCCGCGUGCGGGAUGACGGCCUUCGGGUUGUAAACCGCUUUUGACUGGGAGCAAGCCCUUCGGGGUGAGUGUACCUUUCGAAUAAGCACCGGCUAACUACGUGCCAGCAGCCGCGGUAAUACGUAGGGUGCAAGCGUUAUCCGGAAUUAUUGGGCGUAAAGGGCUCGUAGGCGGUUCGUCGCGUCCGGUGUGAAAGUCCAUCGCUUAACGGUGGAUCCGCGCCGGGUACGGGCGGGCUUGAGUGCGGUAGGGGAGACUGGAAUUCCCGGUGUAACGGUGGAAUGUGUAGAUAUCGGGAAGAACACCAAUGGCGAAGGCAGGUCUCUGGGCCGUCACUGACGCUGAGGAGCGAAAGCGUGGGGAGCGAACAGGAUUAGAUACCCUGGUAGUCCACGCCGUAAACGGUGGAUGCU
rnacentral:rRNA from 1 species